rnacentral:lncRNA from 1 species
GGACCCCCACUUAUGGGGCAGCCCCCCACUUAUGGGGCAGCCCCCCACUUAUGGGGCAGCCCCACACUUACAGGUCAGACCCCACUUAUGGGCCAUACCCCCACUUAAGGGUCAGACCCCCACUUAUGGGUCAGACCCCCACUUAUGGGGCAGCCCCACACUUACAGGUCAGACCCCACUUAUGGGGCAGCCCCACUUAUAGGCCAUACCCACACUUAUGGGUCAGACCCCCGCUUAGGGGGCAGCCCCACACUUAUGGGGCAGCCCCACUUAUAGGCCAUACCCCCACUUAUUGGGCAGCCCCACUUAUGGGUCAGCCCCACACUUAUGGGUCGGACCCACACUUAUGGGUCGGACCCACACUUACGG